GACGAACGCUGGCGGCGUGCCUAACACAUGCAAGUCGAACGGGGUUGAGCGCUUCGGUAUUCAACCUAGUGGCGAACGGGUGAGUAACGCGUGAAGAACCUGCCUUUCAGUGGGGGACAACAGUUGGAAACGACUGCUAAUACCGCAUGACGCUUCUUGGGGGCAUCCCCGAGAAGUCAAAGCUUUAUGUGCUGAAAGAUGGCUUCGCGUCUGAUUAGCUAGAUGGCGGGGUAACGGCCCACCAUGGCGACGAUCAGUAGCCGGUCUGCGAGGAUGAACGGCAACAUUGGGACUGAGAUACGGCCCAGACUCCUACGGGAGGCAGCAGUGGGGAAUAUUGGGCAAUGGGGGGAACCCUGACCCAGCAACGCCGCGUGAAGGAAGAAGGCCUUCGGGUUGUAAACUUCUUUUACCAGGGACGAAGGACGUGACGGUACCUGGAGAAAAAGCAACGGCUAACUACGUGCCAGCCGCCGCAGUAA
rnacentral:rRNA from 1 species